AUUGAACGCUGGCGGCAGGCCUAACACAUGCAAGUCGAACGAGCGGCGGACGGGUGAGUAAUGUCGGGGAAACUGCCCGAUGGAGGGGGAUAACUACGGGAAACGGUAGCUAAUACCGCAUACCAUCGGAUGUGCCCAAAUGGGAUUAGCUAGUAGGUGGGGUAACGGCUCACCUAGUCGACGAUCCCUAGCUGGUCUUAGAGGAUGACCAGCCACACUGGAGCUGAGACACGGACCAGACUCCUACGUGAGGAAGCAGUGGGGAAUAUUGCACAAUGGGCGAAAGCCUGAUGCAGCCAUGCCGCGUGAGUGAAGAAGGCCUUCGGGUUGUAAAGAACUUGCAUCGAGGAGGCGUUACUCGCAGAAGAAGCACCGGCUAACUCCGUGCCAGCAGCCGCGGUAAUAC
rnacentral:rRNA from 1 species